GGCCAUGUGGCCAUUGGUGGCUGACUUUUCUUCGUUUCAAUCUGCUGAUUCUCUCUUCAAAUUAUGGCACCGCAUUACACACCCAUGACCUACCCUCAGUUCGGUCGGUCAGCUCCACAACCAUUAGUCUCCUUCCCUUUUGCUCUAAAAAGCCAGCCAAUAUUUUUUCACUUUUGGAUCAUGAUCUCCUGGUCGUGGCUCUGUGUAUAUUCUUUCUAAAAUAAUGAGAACAGAAGGCUGGUGCGGUUUUGUAUAUGUUUUGUGUUUUUUAUGGGGUUAUUAAUUGUUUGAAAAAUGGGGAGAAGAUUGGCAUUGAUGUUUAUUAGAAGUUAUCCACUCCGAUCCUUUUUGACUAUCCCCAUCCAAUGAAUCACUUAGCACGAUCUCUAUAUCUUCCGCGGACCCUCUUCUUGUUCUUUCAUUAUUCAUAGGAUUUGAUGUUCGCCAAACUCUCAAAAGCUUUAAUAGUUUUCUGAUUUCCUCCUCUAAGUUUCGGAGCAUUCCAGAUCAUGAUCGUAGAAUUCGAAAGUAGAAAACCAGACCUUCCCCUUUACCUCCAGAUCUAGAGGAGUUUUCGGCAAAAUCCAGGAAACAAAAAGAUGGCCAUGGCACCCACCGUGAAGGUAGUACUAGGCUCCAUCGCCUUUGGGAUCUUCUGGGUCCUAGCCGUUUUCCCCGCGGUGCCCUUCCUCCCUAUCGGAAGGACUGCAGGAUCUCUUCUUGGCGCCAUGCUCAUGGUCAUCUUCCGCGUGAUCACUCCCGAAGACGCCUAUGCGGCGAUCGACCUCCCCAUCCUUGGCCUCCUCUUUGGUACCAUGGUCGUUAGCGCCUAUCUCGAAAGGGCCGAUAUGUUCAAAUAUUUGGGUAAAUUGCUCUCAUGGAAAAGUAGAGGCAGCAAGGAUUUGCUCUUCCGAAUCUGUCUUGUUUCUGCCAUCUCCAGUGCUCUAUUUACGAAUGAUACUUCUUGUGUUGUUCUCACCGAAUUCAUCCUCAAAAUUGCGAGGCAGAACAAUUUGCCGCCGCAGCCGUUCCUUUUAGCCCUAGCUUCUAGUGCCAACAUCGGGUCCGCCGCCACUCCGAUCGGUAACCCGCAGAACCUGGUAAUCGCUGUUCAAAGUAAGAUUUCUUUCGGGAAAUUCCUGUUUGGUCUCGUCCCUGCGAUGCUUGUGGGAGUACUUGUGAAUGCUGCCAUCCUCUUGUGCUAUUACUGGAAAUUGUUGUCCAGUGAGAAGGAUGUGGAAGUGGCUCAAGCAGCAAAGGAUAUGAUCGCCGAAGAGGAUGUCACUUCUCACCGUUUUUCGCCGGCGACGAUGUCACACCUUGGUUCUAUGAAUUCUCAGGAUUGGAAUUCUAUGAUCGAAUCGAUUCCUCAGAGCCCAUCGAUAAAUGGAGAGUUUGGGCAUGUGGAGACAUUGAGGAACAGAGUUAGUUAUAGUGAGAAUGACAUACGGCCGGCCACAAGUGCUGGAACUGAGUCUGCAAAGGUUUCGAAUGCAUCGAAGGAGCUGGGGGGGGUUGGUGGAAUUCCCCAAAGGAGAGAGGAAGGUGCAUCUGGGAGGAGAUAUGUGAGAAAUGGGAGCUGGAUGAGUGGCAUGAAAGAAGGGUUUUCUAACCUCUCUUUGGAGGAAAAGGAAAUUCCCGUGGAGAGGUGGAAGAGAUUGUUGUGGAAGACGGGUGUGUAUGUUGUGACUAUUGGAAUGCUCAUUGCUCUUCUAAUGGGGCUAAACAUGUCGUGGAGUGCGAUUACUGCUGCUCUUGCUCUCAUUGUACUGGAUUUUAAGGAUGCCCGUCCUUCUCUAGAGAAGGUUUCUUAUUCAUUAUUGAUAUUCUUUUGUGGGAUGUUCAUUACCGUUGAUGGUUUCAAUAAAACUGGCAUACCAAGUGCUCUAUGGGAUUGGAUGGAACCAUACUCACGGAUUGAUAGUGCUGGUGGAAUUGCGGUCCUUUCCCUUGUUAUCCUUAUUCUCUCAAAUGUUGCCUCCAAUGUACCUACUGUUACUGCAUGAUAAUGCAUGAUAACGAUAAUAAUCUUGCUGGUUAGUCUGCAUUUGUCUGCAAUGACUCAGUAUUAUCUCUUCAUUAGUGUACCUCAGGUCCUUGUUCUGCUACUUGGAACUCGAGUGGCAGCAUCUGCAGCAAGCAUCUCUCUGGCUGAAGUGACCAAGGCGUGGCUCAUAUUAGCAUGGGCGAGUACGGUGGCUGGGAAUCUAUCAUUACUGGGAUCAGCUGCAAACUUGAUAGUUUGUGAGCAGGCUCGUCGGGCUCAGUUUUUUGGUUACAACCUCUCAUUCUGGAGCCAUCUGCGUUUUGGGUUGCCUUCAACACUUGUUGUUACAGCGAUCGGCUUGCUACUUAUUAGGAAUUGAUGAAUGGAUCUGGUGAAGAACCAUGUAGAGAUGAAUCUUUUGUAUUUUACAAUGGCAUUUCAGUCCAUGCCGAAAAAGACAAAUUGGUAGCCGCUCUUUCAUGGACAUUGUUGAGGCGACUAAUAGAAGGUAUGCUUGAUAGUUGAGGAAAUUCUAAAUAAAAUAUGUUGGGUCUUAUCUUAUAAAACAAGAGUCACCAUAAGAGAGCACCCAAGCAGACGAGACGCUCAGUUUAAGCAACCAUUGAGUGGAUAGAGAUGACCUGCAUAAUUUCAGAGCUUCAAUACCCUGCAAGAAGCCUCCCUGACAACGGUAUCAUGUCUUUAACGUGUCAAGCUUGUUGCCAAAUUUUGUUGCUCUUCAGCUGUUGAUAUCUUCGUUUAUGUUUUAUUGAGCAAUACGAUUAGUAAAUGUCUUAGUAAUUUCUUUGGGGUAAAUUCUUUUAGUAAAAUAUCAGUCUUCGGUUUGUCA